UUCAGACACACUUCCUGUUCAGCUCUUUCUCGCACAGAUAGAAGGGGAAAUGGGUGUAGCAUCAUUUUAUGGUUAAUACACAGAUGAAGACACGACACAUUCACCGAGCAGAAAGAGAGAGUAACCGUGUGUAACAGAACAGGAGCUUUAAGAUCUUUUUGAAGGAGAGUUGGUAUAGAGAUCUGUGAGAGUGAACUCAGGAUGAAGAUCCUUCUCAUCUUCACCUUCUGUCUGAUCUCAGAUGGAGGAGCCUCAAAGGAAGUAACAGGAUAUUCAGGAGGAGGAAUCCUUAUCAAGUGCAAGUAUGCUACAGCAUACAGAGAUAACUACUAAGUCCAUCAGUGAGAAUGUCCAUAUAGGAGGAGAUUUACCUGUCAGAUGUAAAUUCCCACAAUCCCUCAAGAGUGACCCCAAGUUUCUCUGCAGGACGCAAGAUUUUGCUUGUUUUUAAAAGAACUCUGUUAAAGAUAGUAGAAAAAAAUAAACUUUUGGGAAAUUCUCCCUGUAUGAUGACAGAGAAAAACAAACCUUCACUGUAAGUAUUAGAGAUGUAACUAAGCAGGACUCUGAAUACUGGUGUGGAGCUGAAAAAGCCUGGACAUCUGAUCAUGGAUACAAGGUUUAUUUCACACAGAUCAACCUGACAGUCACUGAUCCAUGAGUCCCAGUUUCAACCUCAAAACCGCCCUUCAUCAUCAUCAUCAUCAUCAUCAUCAUCAUCAUCAUCAUCAUCAUCAUCAUCAUCAUCAUCAUCAUUAUCAUCAUCCCCAAUUCUUCAUCUCACAGAUAAAAACUCUGAUAAAAAAUCCUUGUCUACUCCAGCUUCUCCUCCAGCAGGAUUUCCAGCUUCCACUGUUAUCACUGUGUCUGCAAUUCUGCGGCUGCUUCUGAUUGGAACCAUAACUGUCUUUGUGGCUCUACAAAAGAGACAAAAGUUGCAAGGCACCUCAGUCCGGCAGAACUGUAAUAUCCUAUAGGAAAAUGGGAUCUCUUAGCCGUAAAGUUAGCCCUGGAGGAUGGCGGCACUGGUUGGAGAGUGUGGGGCAACCCUUUCUAGUGUGGACAAAACACAAGAAGAUUGAAUAUCUUGUGUACUGUGUACCUCGUUAUUGAACUGUUUUUCACUCUGUGUUUUGCCUGCCCUGCAUUGUGCUGUGUUCUUGUGUACCGGAUUAUUGGACUAUUUUUCACUCUAUGUUUUUGCCUGCCUUGCCUAAUUUUUUCAAGCUCAUUAAAUACGUUUAUUAUUUACAAAGGCA